CCUCCUUCAAGCAGAAGGAGUCUUCCUUGUUGGCUCUGAGAGGCUACAGUGUCGUGCGUCAGAGGUUGUGGACAGCACAGGACAUGCACCUGCCAGCCCCCUUAGGGCUCCCAGCAGUAGCCGGUGACGGACAGCAAGUUAUUGUUCUCUCAGAUUUACAUCAGCAAGGAUAUAAAUUCAGCCAGAAGCUCAGGGGCACCUGGAAAAUGAUUUUCUUUGCCUUUGUGCUUCUGAUGAUACUGAAGCUCAAGAUACACCUGGUCGUACCCUUCUGAGACUGCCGAGAGCACUCUGAACUCCUGACUCACAGACACAGGCAAAUCCCUCUUGAAGUAAUAGAACAACAUGCUUAGAAGUGUGGAGUGCAAUAGAGCUGAAAAAUGAAAAACCAACAGGCUGAGAUGCUGGCUUCUUCCAGAAGGGCAAGAAAAAGGUAUCCGUGUGUGCCUGUGCACUUUGGCGGAACAAGGCCCUGGAAGGAGGAGCACUGCUUCCUGAGAGGCCCCACUGAACCGGCAGUUGGAAGCAGACCUGACCUGGACUGGGAGAGUCUUGUGCAACAGGGGCACUUU